AAAUACGUAUUAAAUAGAUAAAUUAAUGGUAAAAUAUUCUUACAAACACGUGUCUUUAUGUAAAUGUUGUUUUAAAAUAGAUUAUAUAGUGAAUUUCAAUAUCUUCAUGUAGUGUGAAAACAAUGAGUUUACAGUACAAUAACAUGAAGAAAAUUCGACGGUAGUUAGCAUUCAAACAUCAACGUAUAGCACUUCAGUCGUAUGUGAUCACGAAAACUGUAAAGUAUUUGAAGCUUUGAAAAUAAUAAUUAAAACAGCACGUGGGGCACUCUGCUAUGCUAUUGCAUAGCAUUUUUAUGAACUUAUGCAAUUAUAAUUAGUCAAUAAUAAUUUACUAUUAAAACAAUAAUAAAAUAA